CCUACGGGGUGCAGCAGUGGGGAAUAUUGGACAAUGGGCGAAAGCCUGAUCCAACCAUGCCGCGUGUGUGAAGAAGGCCUUCGGGUUGUAAAGCACUUUCAGUGGGGAAGAAAGCCUUGGGGCUAAUACCCUCGAGGAAGGACAUCACCCACAGAAGAAGCACCGGCUAACUCCGUGCCAGCAGCCGCGGUAAUACGGAGGGUGCGAGCGUUAAUCGGAAUUACUGGGCGUAAAGCGCGCGUAGGCGGUCUGAUAAGCCGGUUGUGAAAGCCCCGGGCUCAACCUGGGAACGGCAUCCGGAACUGUCCGGCUAGAGUGCAGGAGAGGAAGGUAGAAUUCCCGGUGUAGCGGUGAAAUGCGUAGAGAUCGGGAGGAAUACCAGUGGCGAAGGCGGCCUUCUGGACUGACACUGACGCUGAGGUGCGAAAGCGUGGGUAGCAAACAGGAUUAGAUACCCGAGUAGUC
rnacentral:rRNA from 1 species